UGGGGAAUUUUGGACAAUGGGCGAAAGCCUGAUCCAGCAAUGCCGCGUGUGUGAAGAAGGCCUUCGGGUUGUAAAGCACUUUUGUCCGGAAAGAAAUCCUUGGCUCUAAUACAGUCGGGGGAUGACGGUACCGGAAGAAUAAGCACCGGCUAACUACGUGCCAGCAGCCGCGGUAAUACGUAGGGUGCAAGCGUUAAUCGGAAUUACUGGGCGUAAAGCGUGCGCAGGCGGUUUGCUAAGACCGAUGUGAAAUCCCCGGCGUCAACCUGGCAACUGCAUUGGUGAUCUGGCAGGCUAGAGUAUGGCAGAGGGGGGUAGAAUUCCACGUGUAGCAGUGAAAUGCGUAGAGAUGUGGAGGAAUACCGAUGGCGAAGGCAGCCCCCUGGGCCAAUACUGACGCUCAUGCACGAAAGCGUGGGGAGCAAACAGGAUUAGAUACCCCUGGUAGUCCACGCCCUAAACGAUGUCAACU
rnacentral:rRNA from 1 species